AUUGAACGCUGGCGGCAUGCUUUACACAUGCAAGUCGAACGGUAACAGGUUAAGCUGAUGAGUGGCGAACGGGUGAGUAAUGUAUCGGAACGUACCUUUUAGUGGGGGAUAACGUAGCGAAAGUUACGCUAAUACCGCAUAUUCUCUGAGGAGGAAAGCAGGGGACCUGCGGGCCUUGCGCUACUAGAGCGGCUGAUAUCAGAUUAGCUAGUUGGUGAGGUAAAGGCUCACCAAGGCGACGAUCUGUAGCGGGUCUGAGAGGAUGAUCCGCCACACUGGAACUGAGACACGGUCCAGACUCCUACGGGAGGCAGCAGUGGGGAAUUUUGGACAAUGGGGGCAACCCUGAUCCAGCCAUGCCGCGUGAGUGAAGAAGGCCUUCGGGUUGUAAAGCUCUUUCGGCCGGGAAGAAAUCGCACAGGCUAAUACUCUGUGUGGAUGACGGUACCGGCAUAAGAAGCACCGGCUAACUACGUGCCAGCCGCCGCGGUAA
rnacentral:rRNA from 1 species